UAGAUACCCCGGUAGUCCACGCCCUAAACGAUGUUCACUAGUCGUCGGGAUGCUAGUCAUCUCGGUGAUGCACUUAACAGAUUAAGUGAACCGCCUGGGGAGUACGGUCGCAAGAUUAAAACUCAAAGGAAUAGACGGGGACCCGCACAAGUGGUGGAGCAUGUGGUUUAAUUCGAAGAUACGCGAAGAACCUUACCUAGCCUUGACAUUGAUUGAAUUUUCCAGAGAUGGAGAAGUGCCUUUCGGGGAACAUGAAAACAGGUGCUGCACGGCUGUCGUCAGCUCGUGUCGUGAGAUGUUGGGUUAAGUCCCGCAACGAGCGCAACCCUCGUCCUUAGUUGCCAGCAGGUUAAGCUGGGCACUUUAAGGAGACUGCCUUCGUAAGGAGGAGGAAGGUGAGGACGACGUCAAGUCAUCAUGGCCCUUAUGGCUAGGGCUACACACGUGCUACAAUGGGGCGUACAGAGAGUUGCGAUACCGCGAGGUGGAGCCAAUCUCAUAAAGCGUCUCUCAGUUCGGAUUGAAGUCUGCAACUCGACUUCAUGAAGCUGGAAUCACUAGUAAUCGUAGAUCAGCAACGCUACGGUGAAUACGUUCCCGGGUCUUGUACUCACCGCCCGUCACACCAUGGGAGUUGAUUUCACCCGAAAUUGGGAAGCUAACCUUCGGGAGGCUACCACUUACGGUGGAAUUAGCGACUGGGGUGAAGUCGUAACAAGGUA
rnacentral:rRNA from 1 species